AGAUAUAUUAGUACUUGCAUUAACAUAAUCAGGCAUUAACCGUUGCAUGUUCAGUACAGUAUGUAAAGUAUCAUGUCCUCCUUCAAGACAAAUUUCAUUCAGAUCCAGGAGCACAUGCAUGCGCUGAAAAUUUCAAGGCUAACACCAUGAUGCAACAACCCUUUCAAAAGAGUGGGGAAACAUGGAAAUAAAACAACAGAAAUAAGCCCCCCUGACAAACUGGACGAGUUCAGUGAAGUUGCAGGAGGACUGGAGUGGAGAGGAAGCAGAUAGGAUUGUUUGCUGAAAAAGGCUGCCUCAGUUCAGUGCACUGGUGU